AGAGCUGCAGCUUUGCAAGGCGGAGAGUUCUGGGGAUGGAUGGGGUGACGGCUGCACCGCAGUGUGAACAACCUCAACGCGCUGACCUGCACCCUUAGCCACGCUUAAGCUGCAACGUUCAUGUUAUGCGUGUUUUACCACAACCUUAAAAAAAGCAAGAGGCGCUCUGUGCGCCCUUGAGGGAGGGGCUGUAAGCCUGUAUCCCCCUCAGCAUCGGCCCCGCGUCCAGGGGACACAGAACUCAGCACACGGUCCCAGGUGCCCCGCGGAGGGGAGUUUCCUGCGCUGGGAAGACAAGCCCGCGCCGCGUCCCAGGCUCCGUGCUGACGGCUUUAUGGCUGGCUCUUAGCUACAGAAUGCUGUUCCCGGGAACAACCAAGGAAUUCCUAACACACUUUAUUCUGACGCAUCGCUGGGAACCCCUGCACCUUCAGAGAGGCAGCAUGAAGUGCAGGUAGAGCCUGUGGGGAAGACCCCUGGCUCUGGGCCCAGCACAGCUUCUCUUGCUCCUUCUGCCUGCUGGGGGCGGGAGCGCCCGGAGGCCAGGCUCCGCCGCCCACUUCACCUGCUGCUCCAGCUCUCAUCAUCAGCCCCAUGUCCAGGAGACACAGAACAAGCCCUUGCUGAUGGAUCAGGCAGUGCACCUGGGGUCCAGCGAGGACUCACGAGCCAGGCCAUGUGCUGGGCCGGUUGCACGAAUUCCCUCGCCCCCUCCCAGAGCUGCCUUGUGGGGCAGGUGU